UACGUAGGGCGCAAGCGUUGUCCGGAAUUAUUGGGCGUAAAGAGCUCGUAGGUGGUUUGUCGCGUCUGUUGUGAAAGCCCGGGGCUUAACCCCGGGUCUGCAGUGGAUACGGGGCAGACUAGAGUGAUGUAGGGGAGACUGGAAUUCCUGGUGUAGCGGUGAAAUGCGCAGAUAUCAGGAGGAACACCGAUGGCGAAGGCAGGUCUCUGGGCAUUAACUGACGCUGAGGAGCGAAAGCAUGGGGAGCGAACAGG
rnacentral:rRNA from 1 species